AAACCAACAGGGAUUGCCUCAGUAACGGCGAGUGAAGCGGCAAAAGCUCAAAUUUGAAAUCUAGCACUUUCAGUGUUCGAGUUGUAAUUUGAAGAAGGUAACUUUGGUUUUGGCUCUUGUCUAUGUUCCUUGGAACAGGACGUCACAGAGGGUGAGAAUCCCGUGCGAUGAGAUGCCC
rnacentral:rRNA from 1 species